GCAUUAGUUAGUUGGGGGGUAAAGGCCUACCAAGACAAUGAUGCAUAGCCGAGUUGAGAGACUGAUCGGCCACAUUGGGACUGAGACACGGCCCAAACUCCUACGGGAGGCUGCAGUAGGGAAUCUUCCACAAUGGGCGAAAGCCUGAUGGAGCAACGCCGCGUGUGUGAUGAAGGCUUUCGGGUCGUAAAGCACUGUUGUAUGGGAAGAAAAGUUAAGGUAGGGAAUGACCUUAGCCUGACGGUACCAUACCAGAAAGGGACGGCUAAAUACGUGCCAGCAGCCGCGGUAAUACGUAUGUCCCGAGCGUUAUCCGGAUUUAUUGGGCGUAAAGCGAGCGCAGACGGUUGGUUAAGUCUGAUGUGAAAGCCCGGAGCUCAACUCCGGAAAGGCAUUGGAAACUGGUUAACUUGAGUGCAGUAGAGGUAAGUGGAACUCCAUGUGUAGCGGUGGAAUGCGUAGAUAUAUGGAAGAACACCAGCGGCGAAGGCGGCUUACUGGACUGUAACUGACGUUGAGGCUCGAAAGUGUGGGUAGCAAACAGGAUUAGAUACCCUGGUAGUCCACACCGUAAACGAUGAACACUAGGUGUUAGGAGGUUUCCGCCUCUUAGUGCCGAAGCUAACGCAUUAAGUGUUCCGCCUGGGGAGUACGACCGCAAGGUUGAAACUCAAAGGAAUUGACGGGGACCCGCACAAGCGGUGGAGCAUGUGGUUUAAUUCGAAGCAACGCGAAGAACCUUACCAGGUCUUGACAUCCUUUGAAGCUUUUAGAAAUAGAAGUGUUCUCUUCGGAGACAAAGUGACAGGUGGUGCAUGGUCGUCGUCAGCUCGUGUCGUGAGAUGUUGGGUUAAGUCCCGCAACGAGCGCAACCCUUAUUGUUAGUUGCCAGCAUUCAGAUGGGCACUCUAGCGAGACUGCCGGUGACAAACCGGAGGAAGGCGGGGACGACGUCAGAUCAUCAUGCCCCUUAUGACCUGGGCUACACACGUGCUACAAUGGCGUAUACAACGAGUUGCCAACCUGCGAAGGUGAGCUAAUCUCUUAAAGUACGUCUCAGUUCGGACUGCAGUCUGCAACUCGACUGCACGAAGUCGGAAUCGCUAGUAAUCGCGGAUCAGCACGCCGCGGUGAAUACGUUCCCGGGUCUUGUACACACCGCCCGUCACACCAUGGAAGUUUGUAAUGCCCAAAGCCGGUGGCCUAACCGUAAGGAGGGAACCGUCUAAGGC
rnacentral:rRNA from 1 species